rnacentral:rRNA from 1 species
GACGAACGCUGGCGGCGUGCCUAAUACAUGCAAGUAGAACGCUGAAGGAGGAGCUUGCUCUUCUGGAUGAGUUGCGAACGGGUGAGUAACGCGUAGGUAACCUGCCUGGUAGCGGGGGAUAACUAUUGGAAACGAUAGCUAAUACCGCAUAACAGUAGAUGCUGCAUGACAUUUGCUUAAAAGGUGCAAUUGCAUCACUACCAGAUGGACCUGCGUUGUAUUAGCUAGUUGGUGGGGUAACGGCUCACCAAGGCGACGAUACAUAGCCGACCUGAGGGGGUGAUCGGCCACACUGGGACUGAGACACGGCCCAGACUCCUACGGGAGGCAGCAGUAGGGAAUCUUCGGCAAUGGACGGAAGUCUGACCGAGCAACGCCGCGUGAGUGAAGAAGGGUUUCGGAUCGUAAAGCUCUGUUGUAAGAGAAGAACGAGUGUGAGAGUGGAAAGUUCACACUGUGACGGUAUCUUACCAGAAAGGGACGGCUAACUACGUG